CAGAGACAAAGUUCAAGAUUUUUGAUAACCGUGUUCUUCAUGCUGUUUAAGUGUUUAGCGGAUUUAAGGCCAGGGCCUGCCAUCAUAACCACACAGUAUGCAAGUUGUUUUUGUGCAGGUAUUAAUAACCUGUCAUCAGCAACAAUCUCAGGAUCAUCGCUUCCAGGAUAAAAAACACCCCAUUGCAUUGGAAUGCAAUCGAAUUACGAAUCUCUUCCUUCCUCUCCCUUUCUUUCAAUGUCCUCGUGUACGCCCAUGUGAAUGUGGGUGUAUUCACGAGGACACCCUUUUUACCCUAUCCUGCCUGGUGGAUUCGACUUUUCAGCGGAUGGAUGGAGCACCUGGAUCAGUGGAUGCCUGGCUGUAUUUCCCAGGCAUAAAGGUAGGAAAAAAUUGAUCUCUAUUCUUCUUUUAUUUGAUAGUUUUUGGUGGCGUUGAUUUGAAAUCGUUACGUAGUCACGGGGUACGCGAGAGUACGUUUAUUCCUGAGAUAGGCGGUUGACUGCAACUGUUUUCUCUCUCCGUUUUGGUUUUAUCUCGGUAAGGGAUCACUUAAAAUCUCAUUUGUCGAACGACUGAAGAUCAGGCCUGUUUUAUGUUUUUUGAACCCCACAACUUUUUCUGUGGGUC